GAUGAACGCUGACAGAAUGCUUAACACAUCAGCAAGUGAUUGGUGGCGGACGGGUGAGUAACGCGUAAAGAACUUGCCUCAAAGCUAGGGACAACAUUUGGAAACGAAUGCUAAUACCUAAUACUGUGAGAGAGCUUUGCGUCACAUUAGCUAGUUGGAGAGGUAACUGCUCACCAAGGAGAGGAUGGGUAGCCGGCCUGAGAGGGUGAUCGGCCACAAGGGGACUGGGAGACGGCCCUUACUCCUACGGGAGGCAGCAGUGGGGAAUAUUGGACAAUGGACCAAAGUCUUAUCCAGCAAUUCGGUGUGCACGAUGAAGUUUUCGGAAUGUAAAGUGCUUUCAGUUGAGAAGCGGUACCAACAGAAGAAGUGACGGCUAACUACGUGCCAGCAGCCGCGGUAAUUC
rnacentral:rRNA from 1 species